ensembl:snoRNA Small nucleolar RNA SNORD67
UGUGAUGAUGCAAUCCUGUUCGGUGGGGGAGCUCCUGCAUUGGCGGGAACCUUCACUCAGACUCCUGAUGACAUGCACAGGGGCCAUCUGACCAGCU